AGAGAAGAGGGGAAAGAGAUGGAGGACGAGGAAGUUUCUGGACAUGGGUUGGUUUGCAAGAAAAUAAGAUUUUUGAACUCUCUGAUAUUGUUCAUGGAAAACAGUUUUCUUGCCGACCCCACCCAUGCCAAUGAUUUCCUCAGCUUCCUCUCUCUCCCUGUUUCCUUCUCU
rnacentral:pre_miRNA from 1 species